GCCCUCUUGAUGAUGACUUGCAUUAAAAGAAAUCAUUAUACUUCGGUCUUGCAAUGCAUUUCUCAACUCCCGCACACACAACAACACUAUCCUUUAUGAAUCAUUUCCUUUGCACCCAGUGGCUAUGAUGUUUGCAUCUUUGGAUAAGUCCACCCUGGUCCCGGUAAAGCAUAUACAAUGGAAGUUGGUAAUGUAGAAGAUGAGAUGAUGGGUAUGAUUCCAAGAGCUGCUGUUCAGGUGUUUGAAACCGUUGAAUUAUUAGUUGAGAAAGGUUAGAAGUAUGAAUUCAAUGUGUCCUUCCUUGAGAUUUACAAUGAAGCCAUUCAUGAUUUGCUGAAUGACAAAGAGAAGCACGAUGUCUAAAUGGCUGCUGACAAAUCAGGUGCAAUGAAUGUUAGCAAUGGGACUAGUGUUGCAGUUGCAUCAUGAGACCAGAUUCAUUGGUUGUUGUUGAAGGCGUCCAAGAACCAUGCUGUUGGUGAAACCAGACUCAGUGAGUGCUCAUCUUGUAGUCACAGUGCUUGGGGAAACCUGCAAUGGCUGGUAAUAUUUUUAGAGAUUUAGGACAAUUUGUCUCUUGAUUUUUUUAGUCCUAUAUCUAUUUUUUCAUUGUCUACAUGAGUGGCUGCGUGGUUAAGAAGUUUGCUUCUCAACCACAUGUGCUGAUUAAAGCCUUGUGAGGCCAUUUGGUAGAUGGAAACUGAAAGAAGCCUUUCGUAUAAAUUAUGCUUGAAUUCCUUGGAAAUCCAAAUUCAAAAUGUUUUUAAAACUUGUUCAUGCACAUGGCAUCCUAUUAUUAAUUACAAAUUGAAUGACACCAUGUAAAGGGUGAUGAAUUUUUAGCUUUUUGGUGUUGAAAAUUUUUACAGAUCUGUUUUGAAAUAUCUUGUAUGAUUAUGCAAAAUAUAUUUUUUUGGCUUAAAUUUUUUCAUCUAAGCCAGCCCCACCCUGUAAAACUUUGCAGAUUCUUGAAUUAGACUUCACUGGUAUUUAUCAUAGUGGCAGUGAAAAGGACUUUGCUAGGAUUUCUGCAGAGAUUUCAGACAUAUGUAAAUGAUAAAUUGUUUUGAUAGCAUAAUUAUUGGUUAGUAAAUAUCUUUUUUUCUUAAACACACACAGGAGUGGCUGUGUGGUAAGUAGCAUGCUAACCAACCACAUGGUUCCGGGUUCAGUCCCACUGCGUAGCA